rnacentral:rRNA from 1 species
GUGAGGAAUAUUGGUCAAUGGGCGUAAGCCUGAACCAGCCAAGUCGCGUGAGGGAAGACGGUCCUACGGAUUGUAAACCUCUUUUGCCGGGGAGCAACGGGGUCCUUGCGAGGGCCUUAUGAGAGUACCCGGAGAAAAAGCAUCGGCUAACUCCGUGCCAGCAGCCGCGGUAAUACGGAGGAUGCGAGCGUUAUCCGGAUUUAUUGGGUUUAAAGGGUGCGUAGGCGGGCUGUUAAGUCAGCGGUCAAAUGUCGGGGCUCAACCCCGGCCUGCCGUUGAAACUGGCGGCCUCGAGUGGGCGAGAAGUAUGCGGAAUGCGUGGUGUAGCGGUGAAAUGCAUAGAUAUCACGCAGAACUCCGAUUGCGAAGGCAGCAUACCGGCGCCCGACUGACGCUGAGGCACGAAAGCGUGGGUAUCGAACAGGAUUAGAAACCCCAGUAGUCC